rnacentral:rRNA from 1 species
AAACCAACAGGGAUUGCCUUAGUAGCGGCGAGUGAAGCGGCAAAAGCUCAAAUUUGAAAUCUGGCACCUUCGGUGUCCGAGUUGUAAUUUGAAGAUUGUAACCUUGGGGUUGGCUCUUGUCUAUGUUUCUUGGAACAGGACGUCACAGAGGGUGAGAAUCCCGUGCGAUGAGAUGCCCAAUCCUAUGUAAGGUGCUUUCGAAGAGUCGAGUUGUUUGGGAAUGCAGCUCUAAGUGGGUGGUAAAUUCCAUCUAAAGCUAAAUAUUGGCGAGAGACCGAUAGCGAACAAGUACAGUGAUGGAAAGAUGAAAAGAACUUUGAAAAGAGAGUGAAAAAGUACGUGAAAUUGUUGAAAGGGAAGGGUUUGAGAUCAGACUCGAUAUUUUGUGAGCCUUGCCUUCGUGGCGGGGUGACCCGCAGCUUAUCGGGCCAGCAUCGGUUUGGGCGGUAGGAUAAUGGCGUAGGAAUGUGACUUUGCUUCGGUGAAGUGUUAUAGCCUGCGUUGAUGCUGCCUGCCUAGACCGAGGACUGCGAUUUUA